CCGGAGGAGGAGGAGGGGGCGCCGCCGCUCCCCGCCGGCACCACGCGCGCCCUCCUCCCCCCCCAACC
rnacentral:precursor_RNA from 1 species